GGGAGGCAGGAAGUUUUAAAAAACAGCCACUGCCGCCCGCUAUGUCUCGGUCGUGGGUUCGUUAUCCAGUUGUGCGUCAUUCUAAGCCGUUCUGUACAUUUAUACUGGAUAUUAACUGGAGUCAUUUAGCUGUGCUGAUGCUGUUUGCCGUGUGUUUUGCAUCAGUGCUUCGUGACAUCGGCUGUAUUGCGUGUUUUCGCCGACGGCUUACUACCACAAUGGCGGGAUCUGCGUUCGCCGCCUUCGUGUCUCGGUGCGUCUUUGUACGUCGCACGUUCGGAUAACACUUUUUCCGACGGCUGGACAUCCUUCUUGUACCUUGGCGCUAGCUGGAUGACGGGACCUCGUCAUGAUCAGUGUAUUGCUUGCCUAUGUCUACAAGAACCGUCACGUGUGGCCUGUGACAGCAAGCUUUUGUGGGCAGCCAGUGCUCUCCUACGAAGGCUGGCCUACUCUGGCAGCGGCGGCAAUCAUCUUCGAGAUUUAUCCAUGAUCACCUUUGCUGCUAUUUGUCACUCUUGUUAAUUACACUUUCUGCAUCUUUUCUAAUUUAUUAGGUAAUAAAGUAUGAGUAUGUGA